rnacentral:misc_RNA from 1 species
GUCCACACGGGCGCCUCAAUACGCAUCCUCUUCUCUCUCUUUACAUAUAUAUAUAUAGAGAGAGAGAGAGUUGCACCGGAUCCAGAGUUGUCGUUCCAUGUGCCACCGCCGCCACCACCAACACCUCCCUCCCCAUCCUCUCCCCGUCUCCCUCAUAGAAGAUACGGCCGCAUAGAGCUUUUGACCUUUAUUUUUUUUUUCGCAACCGUCAACGGGAGAAGCAACGAGAGUCUGCAUUGUGGGGAGGUCAGCUGCCUCUGCCGCCACCCUCGCCGUUGACCGUCGUUGAGGAGGCGCUUCAUGUGACUUGCAUCGCUGCGUAGGGUUCGACAGCCGUCCGCUCUGGCACUCAGCCCAUCCCCUCACUCCCUCGUUAUUGUGUGUGUGUUUUAGCUCUUUCGAUGAGCGCCCGGAGCAGAUCCUCUUCCCACUCAGCUGCAGAGGAGGGGGACACCACAGUGGUGAUCCGGGCACCGCCACCAUCACCGCCAGUGUGUGAUGGCCGGGCUGCUGAAAAAUGCCUGUCGCCUGCGCAGGCGACGACCACCAAGUACGCUUCGCUACCGUUCUCAUGCCCGAACUCCCCCAAAUCUGGCGCAGCAGAGGCGUCGCAACACCGCAGCCGGCACUGGUCUAUCACGCAAGCGUCGGCGCACUCCACGCACAAAUCGCGGCGGCCCGGCGCUGCCGCGGCCGUCGCCCAUGAGACGUUAACCGAAGCCGUGUCGCCAGUCGGCGCAACAGCUGAUGUGCAGAUGGUGGCUGAGUUAAAGAGUGAGCUGUACCACGUGUCUCGCAGUCUAGUGCAAGCACGCCAGCAGGCGCGCACGAGCGAGGAGACGUGCGCCGAGCUGCGUCAACGCUGUCAAGGCCUAGAGACAGAGAAGCAGGGACUGCGGCUGGAGGUGCAGGAGGCACAGGAACGACUGCAGGCGCGCCAGGCGCAGACGGAGGAGCAGCGCCGCGAAGCGGCAGAGGCGAAGCUGACGGUGCUCUCCUUGACCGCCGAGCGUGACGAGCUGUCAGCCAAGGUGCAGGAAGCCUGGGAUCGCGUUGCAGAGCUCAGUACUGCGCUGCGCCAGCAGGAGACCGAAGUCCAGAGGCUGCAGACGGGCAUGACGGCUGCCCAGCACAGCAAGGAGCUCACCGCGCAGCAGCACUCCCACGUGGAACAGCAGCUGCGCAUCCUGCAGGAGCAGCUUCGUGUGCAUGAGACGGACGAGCACGCCAGCGCUGCAGCACGGCAACGGCUCUCAGCGGCUCUGCAAAGAGCGUUGGAACGCCUUGCCGAACUCCUCAGCAACGUGGCCUACGACUAUCAGCGAAGUCUUGCGUACGAGAGUCGGGAAAACGAGGAAGGCACCGCGAGCGAGAUGUUUGCGCGUGUUGCUGCGAAUGGCAAGGCAGCCCGCGACGAGGCCGCCAGCACGCAGAACCACGCCGGCAACGUCCCCCAUGUCGUUCUCUUCCCUGCCAACUCUCACUCCACUAGCAUAUCCACUGAGCAGGCGCUCAUGGAGACGCGGCCGCUGCGACGGCGCGGCUCAUUCAAUGAAAGUGCGCGUGUGCACGCUGAGAAUGUACUGCACAGCGCAGAGGCUGCAGUGCUAGGGGACCUGUGGGGAGCAGAGCGACUGUCGCAGCCGCCACCAGCACCAGAGCGACGCCCUCCCUCGCCGUCCAGCUCACGCCAGGCACUUGUGCAGAGUCACUGCCCAAGCACCUCCCAGGAUGCAGCCGGGAGGACAGAGGCGACGUCACAACUAUCUGUCAUCACAACUCUGGCAGACGAGGCGAGUCUGCGCACCGCCCUCACGCCCCUGCUGCUCGCGCUAAAGCACGUCGCCACGAUGCUGAGCAACGUGCGGCACGAGCGGCAGCGGUGGGUAGCAGAGGCGAUGCACUUUAGGCAGUGCUACGAGGAGUUGCAGCAUCAGCUGGAGGCGGCGCAGCAGGUGUCAGCGUCACAGGAGAACCAGGCGGAGGUGUCGCGCGCACACAUCGGAGCGCUGCAACGCCGCGUAGAUCAGGCCGAGGCCGCCUUGCGGAGUGCCGUAACGAAGACAUGCGCCGCCGUGGAAGUCUGGCGCAGACGCUGAAGUGUGCCGAGGACUGGGCACUCAUUCAACACUCGGUCGAGCUGCUUCAGGUUCGUCACAGUGAGCUCAGCAAGGACCUUCAGCUACUGCAGGAGCAGCGGCAGGCCGCCUCAGCCGUCGGCGUCGAGCGCAUGGAGCAAGCUGCUUGCGCAGCGGCGGCGGAGGUGCAGUACCAGCAGCUCAAUCAGCAGUACCGUGCCUUAAAGGAGUGGGUGGAGGCGACGUGGUCGACGGCGAGUCGCGGCUUCCCGCAAAUGCAGUCAAGUGAGCGCUGUGCGGGUAGCGACACGCCCGCCGCGCCUCCGACAUUGCAAGCUUUAUCAUCCCCAUCUCCAUUGCCACCGCCAGUGGGGCACGGAGCUGCCUCAGCUCCUCUUGGCGCCCCUCCCGCCGCCGCCAACGCAGACGCACCUGUAGCAGAACAGAGCCGUUCUUCCUCAACGUUGCUGCACUGCACCUCGAUGGCCCCCGCAACAGUGUCCACCUCUCAUCAGCGAGGCGAGGAGGAGGCGAGGGACCCUGAUGUGUCGCGGACGCACAACGGUGGGGGCGUGCGUGGAGGUGACGCCAGCACUGCACCCCGAGAAACGGCGUCUGCAUCAUCUGCUGUGGCGAAUGGAAAGACGAGCACACGCGUCCAGCCGUGUGUUGGGCAGACGUCGUCGCAAUCGGCGUCGUCGUUCCCAUCCUCCUUUCCCACCCCUGCCGAAGUGGAGAACCGCGUGCACGCUCACGCCUGCGCCCCCGCACCCCUCCCGCGCGCCGACGUGCCUGCGAUCAACGGGGUCGCUGGCCCGCCGCGCUUCACAACACCACUGAACACGGCGUAUCCAGACCCACUAAGCGGCCCCUCAUCUACGGCGGCGCGGCCGCUCAUGGGUGACAGCGCCUAUGGCGCAGAGGGCAUGCUGCUGGCGUCGCACCACCGUGGCCAGGGUCUCUCGUGGUCGAGUGCCGCCGCGGCGUAUGCGGCCCCUUCACCGCCGCCAUCCUCGGCAGCGCGCUAUGCCAGCAGCGAUGUCGUCACCCCACCGGACCUUCGCCGAUCUUACGUGAGCGAAGACGCUGACCGCGGCGUCGCCAAUGGCACGGUGGACUACUCCUCUAUGUUCGCUACCGAGGUGCUACACGUGAUCGAGGCGUUGGAUCGACGGGUCUCUGGGGCACUCGACAGAACCCUACAUGUGUAGAAGAAUAAAGACGCGAGGAGGUGAGGGUGGGGUGUGUGUGGGGGGGGGGGGGGUGCGUAUGUUCAGCCACACGCGCCCCUCGCGUCCGGCCACGUGUUCGCUGCCCUCCCCCUCGUCUCCUCUCCACUCUUCUUGGUUUCUUUCACAGCAAUGCUCCACGUAUGGGGCUCCCCCACUCCUCCGGGGGGGGGAGGCACCCAAUGCCGCU